rnacentral:tRNA from 1 species
GACACUAUGGCCGAGUGGUUAAGGCGGCAGACUCGAAAUCUGCUGGGUUCGCCCGCACAGGUUCAAAUCCUGUUGGUGUCG